AUUGAACGCUGGCGGCAGGCCUAACACAUGCAAGUCGAGCGAGCGGCGGACGGGUGAGUAAUGUAUGGGGAACUGCCCGAUAGAGGGGGAUAACUACUGGAAACGGUAGCUAAUACCGCAUACCAUCAGAUGUGCCCAGAUGGGAUUAGCUAGUAGGUGGGGUAAUGGCUCACCUAGGCGACGAUCCCUAGCUGGUCUGAGAGGAUGACCAGCCACACUGGGACUGAGACACGGUCCAGACUCCUACGGGAGGCAGCAGUGGGGAAUAUUGCACAAUGGGCGCAAGCCUGAUGCAGCCAUGCCGCGUGUAUGAAGAAGGCCUUCGGGUUGUAAAGCACUUUCAGUGGGGAGGCGUUACCGACAGAAGAAGCACCGGCUAACUCCGUGCCAGCAGCCGCGGUAAUUC
rnacentral:rRNA from 1 species